rnacentral:rRNA from 1 species
UACGUAGGGUGCGAGCGUUGUCCGGAAUUAUUGGGCGUAAAGAGCUCGUAGGCGGUCUGUCGCGUCGGUCGUGAAAACUUGGGGCUUAACCCUGAGCUUGCGGUCGAUACGGGCAUGACUGGAGUUCGGCAGGGGAGACUGGAAUUCCUGGUGUAGCGGUGAAAUGCGCAGAUAUCAGGAGGAACACCGGUGGCGAAGGCAGGUCUCUGGGCAUUAACUGACGCUGAGGAGCGAAAGCAUGGGGAGCGAACAGG